rnacentral:lncRNA from 1 species
AGCGAGCCCAGACCUGCGACCCUCGGGAUCCGGCUGCCCAAUGGGCAUGCACACUGUGGGCUCUCACAGCGCCGUCUCUGUGGAGGGAGGACCGGCCGGCGGAUUAGGAGUGAUGUACAUAUUCUGCUUAUUUCCACCUUCCACCAAUCUGCAAGGAGCUUCUGCUUGUGAAUUUACUAAAUCUAAGUGGACAUUUUACACUGAAAUUCUGUUUCCCUCAAAAAGUAAAAGAGGAGCAAAUAGAAGAUCAAGAUGACAAGAUUAGCAUGUGUUUUCUCCUUCCUGAAAACAAGGCUCAUCCUCUGGGGCAGUGUCGUGCUUUAGAAAUGGCAUCUGGGCGGCUGGGCUCUAGAGAGCCAUUGCUACAAAGACUCACCCCCAAGGGCUUCUAAGGGCUGGCUGGGGCUGGGGAUAGUCCCGACAGAGCCCUGAGGGACUCCUGACAUUUUCUAUGGGUUUGUUUCUCUGCAAACAGCUUCCUCCUCUGACUCACAGCUUCUCUGGUCCCUGACCUGCCUAAACUCCCACUCAGCGUCCAACACCCUGUGGGGGCCCCUCCAUUCAAACACCCACCAGCACCAACUGAUUGUCCCUGCUCGUACUCCUAUUGCAGAUUCCUGUGGAGAGGAUCGGAGGGUCCCUGCUUGAGUCAGCAUCCAUCCCUGGUACAACUCGAGGCUGGCCAGGGGCAGGUCACAGGUCAGAGGAGGCUCGUAAAGAUGGGCUAAAGGAAGGGGCACCUCCGCUUCUGGUUUGGACGUACGCCAAAGCACAUUCUCCUUCUCACAAGUGCCUUUGAAACCAGCUUUCUGGCCGUCGGGAUCUUGUAUUAUAAAAUUAAUCACAAAUAGAUUAUGCAAUAUUAG